UACAGAGGGUGCAAGCGUUAAUCGGAAUUACUGGGCGUAAAGCGAGCGUAGUCGGUUAUUUAAGUCGGAUGUGAAAUCCCCGGGCUCAACCUGGGAAUUGCAUUCGAUACUGGAUAGCUAGAGUUCGGCAGAGGGAAGCGGAAUUUCUGGUGUAGCGGUGAAAUGCGUAGAUAUCAGAAGGAAGACCAGUGGCGAAGGCGGCUCACUGGCCCGGUACUGACGCUGAGGUGCGAAAGCGUGGGGAGCAAACAGG
rnacentral:rRNA from 1 species